GAAAGCACCUCAGCAUUCAAAAGUGACCAAACCAUCAGCCAGGAAGCAUAGGAACUGAGGAGUGGUCUGUGGUCACCACCUGCAGAACCACUCCUUUAUUGGGGGUGUCUUGCUAAUUGCCUAUAAAUUCCACCUGUUGUCUAUCCCAUUUGCACAACAGCAUGUGAAAUUGAUUGUCACUCAGUGUUGCUUCCUAAGUGGACAGUUUGAUUUCACAGAAGUGUGAUUGACUUGGAGUUACAUUGUGUUGUUUAAGUGUUCCCUUUAUUUUUUUGAGCAGUGUACAUUUAACAUAUCCAGGCCUCUUCAUUCUGUCACUAUUUUAACUGUUUUAGUUUUAACCUCUCCUCCACUUUGGGUAACUUCCUAGUUCUGGUAUAUUGCUUCACCCAGUACACUAUGGGAUUGUGAUGGUUGUCUAUUUCUCAGGCUGUUUUUUCUUAUACAUACUUUAGGUCCUUCUAAUGGAAGGAUGCGCAGUGGGAACUCAUGCCUAGAUUCAGUACAUCAGGUAUUCAGCAUUCGAGGUAAUCUGGUAAUUUUGAGUUACUCCACUUGUUUGCAAUGUUAUGUUUUGAUAUGCCUUUCUAUCACAAUGCUUACUUGCUCCAAACUUGCGUCUGUUUGUCCUCAACUCAAUUUGUGAGUGUACCCUCGCCUUGACACAUACUUAACAUGUUGUUUAUGGCCUUUCUUACAUAUCAAAACACGUUAGGAGCAUAUCAGUAAGUCACGUCUCACCAGGUAUACUUCAUACCGACCAUUGCAUGUAUGGUCAACUGGGUCACUCAUUAUAUAGUUCAAUUCCUUUGGUUAGUUGGUAUCAGAUAUCAAAAGUAUUUUGUGUUCUGGGCUCAUUGCACUUUACUUACCUUACUGGCAAUUUUCACACUGUUGCCAUAGUUCUAAAUUAUGAAAUCCCUAGUGUGAUUUUGGUUUUGGACCGCUGUACACUUUUUUUGUUUGCCCGUUACUUUUCUAUUCACUUAUUCUUGCCAUCAACGCCGCCAGGGUAUGUCUAAUCAUGCCACAGUGUUUCACAUUUACGUUUUUCAAGUCACCAUGCAAGUGACUCGCUAUACGAUACUACCUCCCUUCUUACAACAACCACUCUCUACACAACUUAUGUUUAGCUUGGUCUGGCUCUUGGGGUUCCUUAAGUGGCCCUAGAUAGUUUUCGGCUUCUUGUGCCAUUGUUUAGCAGUCCCGAGAGGCCAACUUUCAUCCUCCACUACGGAGGUAUUUGCCCCUCAGGCUAAAUCAUAGUUACUGCCUUGCAUUUCUGCCCUCCUGGCAAAAGCACUUAGGGCCUCACCUGUCCCGGCCAACUUAUUUUGAAUGUCUUUAAUCCUCACCGAGAGGCUGCCACCCCACUACCCCACCACAAUGCUCGGUGGCAAACAUACCCAAAGAGCCAAAUCAUAGGUAGAGCCUCUCAUCGCCACUUAGCAACUAGUUAGGUUCUCAAGUCACCAAUUUAGCUUAAUUGUUUCGCCACUUGGCAUAAUUUAGGUCAGCCAGUAUCUUGGUGUUCUACAAUAUCUCCCACUAACAUUUUCUAUUUAAGGUAUGGUUAUAAAUGCUAAUAAAAUUUACAGUAUUGAUUGUGUAAUGUCGACACGUAUUAAAGUGUUAAACUAUUAACUUUUUGCCCUCUUUUUUCAGGCCUACCUGAACAUCAUCGGUUUCGGCACACCACAACUGACUUAUGCACCACUAAUAUAACUCUGCUUAUUGUCCCCGACCAUAAGUAUAUAUAUAUAUAUUGUGAGCGUAAAAGUGGAAUAGUGGUUGAUGGAAGAUACAUCAGGCCUGAUUAGCUAAACAGCAACCAGAGGAUUUUCAGUUAAAUGCCCCAGGGAGAGAUGUUAAAGUUUGCAAUAUACAUUGCUGAUGCUCUGCAAAACAUGGUAUGGGUCCCUGGGGUGGAGUAUUUGGAGAGCAGGAUGGGCCAAUGCUCCUACAGCACUAGUUGCUGUGUAACAGACCAGAAUUUGGAUCUGACUUAAGAGUUUACUAAUUGGCACUCACCUGCAGCUAGUCAAUUAGCAGACAAGUCUUUAAAAGAAGAGAGCAGCCUGCUGCAGAGUGAGGGAGAAAAAGCCAGCUAGGAGAGUGAAUGACAAUUGUGUUUAUUGCAAAGACAUUUCUUUUUUUGGGGGGAAAAUUGGUAAGUGGGAAAACCACCCAAUUACAGAUAGUGAUUUCUGUCUAGUAAGAGCUCAAGUAAGAGCAAGGAAUUUUGUUUGUUAUUAUUUAAAGCACCUGCUUUCUUAUCAAAUAAAAAGGAAAACCG